rnacentral:lncRNA from 1 species
UGAUAAGUGGCUUAGCCAUAAAAUUUAAAAUAGAGUCCAUGAAGGUCCAUGAUGUGUGUGUUGGGAAUAGUGUCCCAAAGCCAAUCGUCAGCCUGUUGACGGUUGUGCUCUUUUUUGUAUUAGUACAUGAAUUAUAAAUAAAUAAAAGUUAUUUUGGUAUUUUUUUCAUCACAAAUGUUUCAUCUUCUAAUGAACUCCUGUGUUGUGGUGAAGUCCUUAGGACUAUUUAGACUCGACAAAGGAGGAUUUGUCGCUUAGUCCUUAAACAUGUUCGCGACCAAAUGAAACGUUGUUACCA